GACGAACGCUGGCGGCGUGCCUAAUACAUGCAAGUCGAGCGCUGAGAGGUGGUACUUGUACCAACGGCAUGAGCAGCGGACGGGUGAGUAACGCGUGGAGAAUCUGCCUAUGAGCGUGGGACAACUUCUGGAAACGAAUGCUAAUACCGCAUAAUAUCUUUAACCACAUGUUUUAAGAGUGAAAGAUGCAAUUGCAUCACUCAAUAAUUAUCUCGCGUUGUCUUUGCUUGGUGGUGAGGGAAAGGCUCACCAAGGGGAUGGUACAUAGCCGAACUGAGAGGGUGAUCGGGCACAAUGGGACCGAGACAAGGCCCAAACUUCCACGGGAGGCAGCAGUAGGGAAUCCUCGGGAAUGGAGGAAAGUCUGAACGAGCAACGCCGCGUGAGUGAAGAAGGUUUUCGGAUCGUAAAACUCUGUUGGUAGAGAAGAAAGUUGGGUAGAGUGGAAAGCGCAUGAAGUGACGGUAACUACUCAGAAAGGGACGGCUAACUACGUG
rnacentral:rRNA from 1 species